AGUGCGAAUGCUGACAUAAGUAACGAUAAAGCGGGUGAAAAGCCCGCUCGCCGGAAGACCAAGGGUUCCUGUCCAACGUUAAUCGGGGCAGGGUGAGUCGACCCCUAAGGCGAGGCCGAAAGGCGUAGUCGAUGGGAAACGGGUUAAUAUUCCCGUACUUGGUGUUACUGCGAAGGGGGGACGGAGAAGGCUAUGUUGGCCGGGCGACGGUUGUCCCGGUUUAAGCGUGUAGGUGUGUGUUCCAGGUAAAUCCGGUUCACUUUAACACUGAGGCGUGAUGACGAGGCACUACGGUGCUGAAGCAACAAAUGCCCUGCUUCCAGGAAAAGCCUCUAAGCAUCAGGUAACAUCAAAUCGUACCCCAAACCGACACAGGUGGUCAGGUAGAGAAUACCAAGGCGCUUGAGAGAACUCGGGUGAAGGAACUAGGCAAAAUGGUGCCGUAACUUCGGGAGAAGGCACGCUGACAUGUAGGUGAAGUGAUUUACUCAUGGAGCUGAAGUCAGUCGAAGAUACCAGCUGGCUGCAACUGUUUAUUAAAAACACAGCACUGUGCAAACACGAAAGUGGACGUAUACGGUGUGACGCCUGCCCGGUGCCGGAAGGUUAAUUGAUGGGGUCAGCGCAAGCGAAGCUCCUGAUCGAAGCCCCGGUAAACGGCGGCCGUAACUAUAACGGUCCUAAGGUAGCGAAAUUCCUUGUCGGGUAAGUUCCGACCUGCACGAAUGGCGUAAUGAUGGCCAGGCUGUCUCCACCCGAGACUCAGUGAAAUUGAACUCGCUGUGAAGAUGCAGUGUACCCGCGGCAAGACGGAAAGACCCCGUGAACCUUUACUAUAGCUUGACACUGAACAUUGAGCCUUGAUGUGUAGGAUAGGUGGGAGGCUUUGAAGCGUGGACGCCAGUCUGCGUGGAGCCGGCCUUGAAAUACCACCCUUUAAUGUUUGAUGUUCUAACGUGGACCCGUGAUCCGGGUUGCGGACAGUGUCUGGUGGGUAGUUUGACUGGGGCGGUCUCCUCCUAAAGAGUAACGGAGGAGCACGAAGGUUGGCUAAUCCUGGUCGGACAUCAGGAGGUUAGUGCAAUGGCAUAAGCCAGCUUGACUGCGAGCGUGACGGCGCGAGCAGGUGCGAAAGCAGGUCAUAGUGAUCCGGUGGUUCUGAAUGGAAGGGCCAUCGCUCAACGGAUAAAAGGUACUCCGGGGAUAACAGGCUGAUACCGCCCAAGAGUUCAUAUCGACGGCGGUGUUUGGCACCUCGAUGUCGGCUCAUCACAUCCUGGGGCUGAAGUAGGUCCCAAGGGUAUGGCUGUUCGCCAUUUAAAGUGGUACGCGAGCUGGGUUUAGAACGUCGUGAGACAGUUCGGUCCCUAUCUGCCGUGGGCGCUGGAGAACUGAGGGGGGCUGCUCCUAGUACGAGAGGACCGGAGUGGACGCAUCACUGGUGUUCGGGUUGUCAUGCCAAUGGCACUGCCCGGUAGCUAAAUGCGGAAGAGAUAAGUGCUGAAAGCAUCUAAGCACGAAACUUGCCCCGA
rnacentral:rRNA from 1 species